GAGGGAAAAAAACAAAAUAAUCA
rnacentral:misc_RNA from 1 species